GCAGAAGCCAGAGGGACUCAUUGCAACGAACAUUUGUAACUAAAGCAGUUUGGGUAAAAGGGUAUACUGUGUGACAUGCCAUGACAUCACAGGUAUACUGUGUGACAUGCCAUGACAUCACAGGUAUACUGUGUGACAUGCCAUGACACCACAGCUUUCAUGGCGAGAUAGCUUUUUGUUGCUUUGUUUAUUUUAUUUCUGUUCCUUUUGCGGGGGAGGUUGCAAAGAUGAAGGAAAGAUAGGAAGGGAUAUGAGUGGAUUGGGGUGCAUGAUGUAAAAUUCUUGAAUUGAUAAUUUUAAAAGGGGGGGACGACUGUGAAUCCAGAAUUCCACCUCCUCCACACAAGAGGUGUCCUUCCUAUGGACAUUGGAGAUAAAGACCUUUUUUGUUGUUCUCCAACAAAAUGCCAUGUGCCCCACGUCUUUAUUUUGGUGUGUUGGGAUUGAAGUUUCAACAAGGAUCUAGGGAGACACAUGCUCACAUCCAACACCACGGCUCGCUUCCCCUAGACAUGGGAGUCUUUCAUGCUCAGCUGGACAGUAGGCAUGAACUGAAAUCGGAAAGAGAUUUAAGUGCUCUUCACAGCUCCUAGUCAGAUCAAGUCCCUGCUGUGUGGGACGUGGCACCUGUGAAUGACCCACUCACCAUGACCAGAAUUUUCUAUCCUCUCAGCCUAAAGUCACAACAACAAGAGCCAUGACAAUACAAUUCAGUGGAAGAGGGCUUGCCUGGUAGGUAUGAGGCCCUCAAUAGUGGUCUCAGCCUUCUAAAUGCUGUGACCCUGUAAUACAGUUCCUCAUGUUGUGGUGACCCACCCCCCAACCAUAAA